GUGAAUAAACUCUGUAUUCUCCGGAUAGCAUACAUUUGAAAGCUUUGCUUUUCCGUUCACCUUUCACCUGUGAUGACGAAGAGCAUUAGAUGGCACUUGAGGGCGAAGCCAGUUCAUUCUGGAUGAGUGUGUUUGGCGUUCUUCUGUUCCAAGUUAAAACAUCAUUUGUUGAAUUGUAUAUACACGCGGGACCUCAUGGCAUAGUCCAGCUGACAUUUUAUAUACAUCGCUUGAUUCAAUACGAAUCUCAGUUUUCUUUGUUCUAAUGAUUUCUGCUACUAGUAUGGCUCAGCUGGUCAUGUAAUUCGGUUUCAUCUUGAGAUAGAGUUAUCCUUAGUUGCAACACCAAAAUCACAUAAGCUGGGGUUGCCUUCUUGACAGUCCCGGCAUAAUUCUAUGUUUUAACAAGAUUGAGAAUGAUAAGAGUUACCUUUUCAAAUGGUCAUACUUAUUUGCGGAAUGCUUUCCUUGUGUAGGAAACUCGCAGAUAAAAUUGCAUCCGCGGGAUUCUUGGUGGUCGUACCUGAUUUCUUUUACGGAGAUCCCAUUAUUGAUUUCACUAGUCCUAAUUUCAAUUUUGAAGCUUGGUUUAAGAAUCACGGCACGGUGAGUUUUUCACUCCUUCAGGCUGUGAAAGUGUGACAGUACAUUUAGAAGUUCAGAGGAAACAAGGGGCUUUCUACUGUGCAAACUUGAUUUGUAGACUCGAAUCACACGCAGUAAGUUGCAUUGGUAUUUAGACCUGGUUGGAGAUUGCUGGUCAUUUCAAAGAUUUUCGACGCCCAGCAAGAUCUUUAUUAUAUAAAAUUCCAAAUGCAAAACAUGAAACAGCAUAAGUAGAAUAAAAGCCUCAUGAAUUUUGAUGUUACCGACUUUUAGACAAUCUUUUUAUAAACGUUUACUUCAUUUGCUUCUUUAGGAUAAAGGGCAUGAAGAUGCCAAGCCAGUGAUUGCUGCUCUUAAGAGCAAAGGUGUGUCUGCCAUUGGGGCUGCAGGAUUUUGUUGGGGAGGUAAAAUUUUCUGAAUUCACUUUCCUAGUUCUGAGGGGGUUGUUGGGUUAAGAAAUGGGAAAUUUGUUCUUAUUGGAAAUUGUAAUCCAUUUUCUCUAAAAAUAUCUAGAAACUACUAACUUAAUCAUGAAGGUGAGAACCUUCUAGAAUUGUUGAGAAUGAAGAUUGCUAGUUGAAUCUAGAAGAUUCACAUGGGAAUGCAAGCAAGCAAAAGCCAAGCAUCAAAGAAAAUCCUAGAACAAGCAAGAGAAGUCUAGAGAAGUCCAUGCUUCAAGAGAAGUCUAGAAUUCUAGAAUGCUUCAAGAGAAAUCUAGAAUUCUCUAUCUUAGGUUAGUAGCUAUUUGUAGAGAAGUCUAGAGACUUCCUCCACCUACUUUGGCAGCCUAUAUAAAGGAGCAAGUGCUCCAUGUUUUGGUGAAAGGGAGCUAACCAUAAAAACCACAUCAUGCUCCCUCACCAACACUUCCUUCAACUAUUGUAAAAUUAUUUUAUCUAACUAAUCAAACUAUUUUUGUCCCAUAAACCUUCUCAAAAUAUCCUAUAUCCCAUGUUCUUUAUCCUUUAAUUAUCCUAGUUUAUCUUUUGUCCGUCCUCUACAAACUAUAUCAUACACUUGCACACAACAUCACUAAUAAAAAACUAUCAUCAAUACCAAAACCAUACUUCUGCGCAUAUUUAUAUUUUUAACAGUUCUACAUUGACCGUUGAGAAACUAGUUUUGUUGACUUGCAGAAAAGUUCUUUCAAGUUGUUAAAAAGAGCUUGCCUAUUCUUUUCAGGAGUGGUGCUUGUGAAAUUAGCGGGCACUGAAGACAUUCAAGCAGCAGUUAUUCUGCACCCCGGUCCUAUGACCGAAGAUGCAAUCAAAGGUAAAGCUAUGCCAAUAAACAUGGACUUGCUAUUUUCUUUUCAGCCGCAGCGAUAUAAUUUCUUCAUGAGGGUAUAAGACUUGGUACUUGGCACGGGAGCCUUUAUCGCCUAUUAUGAAAUGCUCAUGAACAAUUAAAUUAUAUGAAUUCUGAUGGGAGUCUGUAAUGCAGCCAAGAGUGACGAAGAAACUCGCUAUAACAUGUCCGGUCAAUUACAAAAAAUCGAUGGCACGACUUUUGUCUACUUGAGAAGUGUUCCUUAAACUGGAAGCCUUAAAAGACCUUAUUUUCUUCUGUUCUUUGUUCAGCUGUCAAGAUUCCAACUGCUAUAUUGGGAGCCGAGAUUGACCAUUCUUCCCCGCCGGAACAACUGAAAAAGUUUGGGGAGAUCAUGUCGGCUAAAACUGAAGUAAGCUUCUUAGGAUGCUUUGCAUUGGUUGCAAACCAAUUGUGAGAAAAUGCAAUCGAUUUUUUACAUUCCCGUCAUUUCGCUUGGAAAGCACUUUCCCUUCCUGGUUAUUUAUACACAUCGCUAAUUCAAAGACCCCGGUUUUGCAGUUUGAGAGCUAUGUGAAGAUAUUCCCUGGUGUUAGUCAUGGAUGGAGUGUGAGGUACGACGACGACAAUGAAUUGGUGGUCAAGAGCGCCGAAGAGGCCCAAGAAGACACUUUGAAUUGGUUCUUGAAGCAUGUCAAGUGAAGAGAACCGAAGGCAUUGAAGCAGAACAUUCUGACGGAAGCAGUAGAUGACUGUAUUGUGUGAGACGAACAGUUUGAGGACUAGUCAUCUAUUGUAAUAUCUGGCGAGGGAACAAUGUACUGUGCUGUUGAUACUUAGAGAAAUAAAGACAUUGGUUUCAUCGCUUAAACUUGGAAGAUUGAAAACAAAAUAUAUCGCCUAGAGUUGUAUCGUGGCGAUUUGGAUGCGUUUGUUAUUCGAAUCGGUUAGAGGUGUUCACUGUCCACUGGAUGAGGACCACAUAAUGGAAUAUGAAACAGCAUAUUUUGAAGGAUGUGUUAUUUGCAUGGUUACCACCUUGUCAUCAGCUAAAGUGGCUAAUAUCUAAGGUAAUCUCUAGACCACUUGAUUUUGAAUGUAUCCAUUAUAUUAUAACUUGACAAGUAUGCGAGCAAUUAAUAUUUUAUUAAAAGAUACACGACCUCAAAAUCACAUGUCUCAAGAAUUAAAAAAGAAGAAGAGAUGAAAGUAAGGAUAUGGAGAAGAAUAGUAUCCAAAAUAUAUGAGAAACCAACUAUUCGAACUUAUGACAAAAGCGAAACGUUUGUUUUCUAUCAAGUCUAUAUGAUAGUAGGUUAAGAUUUUUCGAAACUAAACCGGAUAGACAUGGCAAAAUUCGUCCUUCAUGUAUAUGGUAUAUAUUUUCGCAACGUGCAUUUGUAUACUGACCAAAUAAUUUCAGAUUUUGGCCAGAUUGUGUUUUUUCGUGAGAGGAAGCAUGUCUCUAUCAGGCUAAAUAUAUUAUGGUUUCGUCUUUGUUCGUUUCUCGUCUGUUUCUCACCGGCCCUCUUCCUUGUUUGACGUCAGCAGUGACGUUAAUACGAACCACGAGACCUUUGAUAACUAAUCCAAACCAUAAGAUUACACGUGCAAGGUGUCUGCAAGAUUAACUUUUUCAGACGCUGUGAUAUCAUAUCGCGGAUAGGCCUAUAGUUUUCAUAAGGCAUUAAUGCACGAUUCCACUUAGCGACCAGAGGAUCACCGUAUCAUCUCUCGUCUCUUGGCUCUGUUCUUACCUCGGAAAGAAUAAAGAAAUGAAGAAAAAGACCAUGAACAGUAAACAAUGAAAGAAAAAAAAAGAAAAAAAUCAAAAUAUCUAUAAAAUCUCUCAAAACGACGUCAUUUCGAGUGGAGUUAUACACGUCAAUAUCACUAACCCUUGGCAUGUAAGAUAACAAGCAUUGAUUUGCACCUCUACAUCAGAAUUUCCUGACAUAAAUUAGUUGGAUAGACUAUAUUACAAAAUUGUUGAAAGGUUCAUGACUACACUAGUCGAAUUGGACAGUUUAUUAUGAAAUUGGAACUUGUACAAUUUGUUCACGGCUUUUGGGUAGUUUUUCCCAUCUUAAGUAAGUCGUAAUUCUAAUACAAGGACGCAUAAGCUCUAUGCUUUUCUUAUUUAUUUUUUGGCCUAUGGUGAAUUAGGUGAUGCUUUUUUCGCGCGGUUGGGACAGAGACAACUGCUUUGUCUCCAAGCCGGCAACUUCCAUAUUGCUGAACCUGGACAUGAAUUUAGUAUCUGUACCACAAUUGUUGAAAUAACCUAAUGAAAAAGCCUAGAUCGGUCAAAAUUGGUUGAUUUGGGUCAUCUAGGAACCGGCCUUUGAAUUAAAGUCUAUCAAACCCAGGCCUAAAACUAUAUUGGUUGAUCCAGGCUGAAAUUGGAUUAGUCCACUUAUCAAUUGCAUUAGCCUGUCAGGACUCAACAGCCGGCAAUUAUCUGGGUUUGUAAGAAAGUUCCAUGCAUAGUAUACGGUAACUGGUUAGUAAUGGCUGAACAAACUUCAAACAAAAGCAAAGCAGGUGAUGGGCCUUUCUCUCUUGGAAAUUGGAAAUUGCUGAAAAAUGCUUUCAAAGAUCUUUCUAUUGGAGUUUUCGAAGUUCUCCAUAACCACAAAAAUUGUUUAACUUUUACUAGUUCAGAUUUUCAAGUGAGAUUAAAAAAAAAAAAAUCAUUUUGAGAUGUUUGCCUUCAAAAGUUUCUAAAACAAAUUUCUAAAGAAAAAGACUCGAGUUUAGCGCACAUCAGACAUCCCUUCCUCGAGACCAUGGACUGGGUUCCUCGGGUCCAAGAUUCGGGGUCGAGGGGGCAGGUUUCCCAAGUUCAAGCACUGGAUUCGACGCACUCCCGAGGCUCGGUACGAGGCAUUGGGAGCAGAGGACCAACGUCCCAUCUUGCUUUGUUGCCUAGUGGCGAGCGGGGUCCCAGGUUCAAGGCAACGACGUUCCGAGUCCAACUCUGAAGUCUCAAGACUAAGCAUCGUGGUCUCGAAUUUGACCCACAAGCACCCAAGGUAUGGGGUCCGAGCACUUGGUUCCUCAGUCCGACCCCAAGGUCCUAUGUUUGGCAGCUGUAGUCCCCCAUCUCUGAAGAUGAGGCGAUCGGGUUCUCGAAUUUAGAUGAUAAGGUCUUGGUUUAGCCUUGGUCAAGGUCCCAAGUUCAAGGGUUGAUGACACGGGCGUGUAUUUUAUAUAUUAUAACUUUUUACUAAUUUCCUUUAUAUUUAACAUAUGGUAGGAUAGAAUUUCUUUUGUAAUUUAAUUAGAAUUUCAUUAGAAUUUCAUUAGUUCUUCAAAUAUGUUAAGUUUUCUUGUUAUAUAAAAAUAUUGAGAGUUCUCCUCUGCUGCAUUCAUGUGCGUGCGCCAUCGUGUGUAGUGCGAGUGUUUACUUGUGUUGGCGAAUUGCCACUUGUGCAAUCACUCUUUUAUGUUACAUUAAGGGGCUAUUUGACAACGUGCCAAACAGUGUCAGAUUCUGAUUUUUUGUUCUCCGGAACAGAUUUAGAAUGGAAUUAAGAAUUUAAAAAAAAAAGUUGAUUCUUGUUUAGGAAACAAAUUUGAUAAUCGAAAUCAACUCUUCUUUUUCUUCUUCCCUUUCGCCACCUCGUGAUCGUUGUCCACCACCACCUGCCGCCAUCCGCCACCAUCCGUUGUCACUUGCCACAGCCCGCCGCCGCUGGUCACCAUCCGCCGGUCCGACAAGCUCGCCGAAGGCAAACCUAGCCACUGAUGAGGCUGGGCGAGCCUUACCCAACUGUCGGCGAGGCUCGAUCGACGAGGGCCAGCCUCGGCAAGGGCUGGCGACGCUUCGGUGAGGUUGCUGGUCCUCAUCUGGUUGGUCGCUGAUCUGGUGACCGGCCACAAGAAGAAGAAGAAGAAUAUGAGAAAAAUGAAAAAGAAAAAAAGAAAGGAAAAAAAGAAAAAAAAAGGGAAAAUUGAAAAAAAAAUAUUUAAAAAUUAAAAGAAAUUGAUUUGAAAUAGAAUCAAUGAGUAUGGUACCAAAUGCAAUUCUAUUUCAGAAUCAGAAAUUUUGGACAGUUACCAAAUAACUUAAAAUGCUUAAAAUUUGAUUCCAUGAACAAAAUAAAAAAAUAAUAAUUUCUGAUCAGAAUCUACUCUCGGGAAUAGAAUCGUUAUCAAACGCAUCCUAAACAAGUCCGGCCUUUGAGCACCGAUGUCUCAAAUUCAACCUUAAGAUGUGAAACCCGACCCUUUGAGUAUCGGGUUCGAAGAGUAGGUUAUCUGAGUUAUUUCCUCGAUAUUUUGAGUCCUGAAUAUGGGAAUGGUCUUGGUGGUGGUGGAAGUCAAAUCAGAUUCUAGAAAAUGUUGAGUCCUUUCAAGCGGCGGAAAUUUAUUUCCAAAAUCGAAGUGAAGAUUUCUAAUUGAUCAAAAAAAGUUCUAUAUUAACUCAUGUUUCUAACCGGCGUCAAAAGGCAAAAGAUGAAGCAGGUAUUUUACCAGCUAAUUUCCGGCAAGACAAACGGCUAAAACGUAAUUCAUUGUGCAGAAGCUCCUCGAGACAAAGGGAUCACUUGAUUUUUUAUGGUCCGUUCUCAAAGCCGAUUUGUUCCAGACUUUUUACAAAGAUCAAUCGAUCAAGCAUAUGGAGAAAGUGAGCUUCAAUGAGCUUUAGAGUUUUGACCAUAGAAAAGGGGAAUUUUUUUGUAUCAAUCAUCUUGAAGUUGGCAUAGGGUGUUUCUAUCAAUUACUCAAAUAUUUUUUGGCUGUUGUUGCAACAAGCGUUAUUCGACUUGAUUGGUCGAAUUAGGCAGAAUCCAAUCAUGCUUAAUCGCCGCACCUCCGCUUUCUUUUGGACUUACUCGUGGAAGCACAUAUUUCUACAUCUCCAGCAAUUAUCUAGUGCACAAGGGAUGGGGGAACUGACACAUCUGAUAGGGAUGGGAUUAGGUUGGGCACACAAAAAGUCCUAGAAAUCCAUUGCUACAACAAAAGAAUUCGAGGAAUUCGAAACAAGUGACUUUUCCUUUGUCUAGCUCGAAGAGAGAUUCUUCUAUGCCUCAUGAAUGUGACAUUUCUAUUCAUCCAAAUCAAUCACCACAUGUUGAUUAUUGUAAAUUGCCUUCUUUUAUUUUAAAAUGAUAAAAAAAAACUGCGUAGACAAUGACUAGAUUGGCUGGCUAGAUCAUAGUUAAAUUUCUCCCUCAAUAGGUGCAUUGAUUGUUGAUCCCGAACUAAACUUAAGAGCUUACACUUCUUUAUGCACACAAAGUUUCAAUCUCUUAUGAAAUUGAUAAAAAAAAUGGUCAUUGAAGUAUAAAGUUCUUUCUAAUUGAGAGGUGUUGAAAAUAAUAGUCACCAACAAAAACAGGCACAUCAAAAGAAGUCUCUAUGGAAAGGUUAGGUCUUUGUUCCAAAUUCUAAUCCUGAUUAAUGAUGCGACAUCUUCAUUGGGUCUUGAAGUGUCUGUUUAAUUCUCUUUGCUCCAUAGCUAGCAUAUACUAAUUCAAUUUGGAUCAAUUGGUUUUUUAAUUUUGUAAUCAUACUAAUAUGCUUCUUUAAAUGCUCCAAUUUAUUGAAAAGAAAAUAAAAUCUCAAUAGGAGAUUGAUUUCUAUUGGCAUUUACAAGAAAUUCCACCAAAAAAAAAAAAAGUUUAAUUGGAACCUUGGACUGAUACAAACAAGGAAAGGACGACACCAGAGUGCAAAAUGGAAAGAUGAAAUAUAGAUACCCCUUGGCGAUUUUAGUUUAACAUCUUUCUAUAAAGAGUCAAAUAAGUUUUUUAUAAAAAGGCAAAGGAUUAAUCAUUAUUUGAUGCCUAGGGGGCCAGGCCAAACACAGAGAAUGAGGAGACAUCGUGUUGAUACCUAAAUUUUGACGACCCGUUUAGUCAUUUAUUGCAUUAAAAAAUUAGGGGUUAAUUUUAUUCUUGAAAAAAUAGUCAAUUGCAUAGCAUAUAGUUUUAGAUGCAUUUAUUUUUUAAUUUGCAUUUACCAUGGGUCAGUGACAAAUGGGUUUAAUUUAGUGGUUCUAAAAUUUAAUUUGGCAGGUCAGACUAAGCCCACGAAGCAAAUAAAUUGACCCGAGCCUGUUUUCUUUUAAUGACAAAAAUUACCUAAAUAGAAAUUUGAAAUGAUAUCACGGUGGAUUUUUGAAAUUUAAUAAAAUUGGAUUGCAAUCUUAUCUUUAGGAGAUAAUAUUAAAAGAUGUGGAAAAUAAAAAAAGUGAUAUUACGUGCGAAAAAGAAAUCUUCGCGAAUGUUGAUUUGGAAAGGAAAUUAAAACCAUGAUCUUCAGCCUAUAAAAAGAUUUUUCGCGUAGGGUUUCGAGGAGGCCACACAUUGAAUAUAUGGCAGCACAACAAAAGGGUUUUGGAGAAAGAGAGAUAUACCGGGAGAGAUCGGAGAAAAGCUCGACGGUUUUGUCAAAAGACCAGAUCGCAGAGAGAAUCCUGUUCGCAUAACGAAAGGGAGAAGGCGGCGAAGCGCUGGCGACCUUUCGUUCAAGGAGAGAGCAUAAUCCAUUACAUCUAGUCCACGUUUUCAAGGAGUCAUCACAAAAAAAGGAGUCCCACAUGCGGCCACGCCAUCAAGAAUGCGCAGAUCACUUCAUCACAUCAUCAGAGCAUCUCGUCAUCAUCCUCGGACACCUUACAAGCGAUCUUAGCAAUUUAUUUUGAGGAGUACGCCCAAUGCUCUACUGACCCGGUGACACUGCUCAGCAAGCACCGACAAUUCCUCUUUAUCCUUGCAUGCGUGCAUGGAAUUUCUGGCCUUGUAGGAUCGAAUUGGAAUUGCCGAGUUCCCGCAACGAUCGCUGCUGUUUAUUGCCUGCUGCUAUUGCUGAGUUGUGUCGAGUUGACCAUGGAUCUGUGAACUCGUCCUCGUCUUCAUCCUUACAUCAUUCCUUACCGGUCCCAUUCUUGGAGAUAACUUUUCCGAGCUAGGAUUUGCCAAGUCAAAUCUUGAUCAAUUGAUGUAAUCGAGCUUCCAGAGAUGAUCCAGCAGAUCCAGACGAUCUCUUACGCCACUCUCGAGUGCCUCGUCGUUCCGUCCGUGACUCCGUGCUGAGCCACAAAGCCCCGACGUGAGUUGCUCCAACGUUUCUCACCGCCUCAGCAACGUACCAGGGACAUCGACUUUCUUCUAUUCGUGACGUUGCUGUCGACAACUUAGAGGCAAGAUAGAAGGCCUUUUAACUGAACUCCAGCAAUCCCGAGCGGUUAUUCAACAUCAGCCCAGCAUCGUUGAGUCAAGGUCAAGCCUGGACAAUCAACUUCCGGUCCAUCAUCGUUGGCGAUCUAGUCCAUAAACCGCCGCUCACACUAUCGUCAUCAACAUCACUGUCCAUCACCGCCAUCCGAGCCUCAAAAUUCACAUAAUUACGGCAACAAGCCGAAGGAUUCUCGACAAAGGCUUGGCUUUAAAUUUGAAGAUUUGUUUUCCAUUGCUUGCUUGCGGUGUGGAAUUGUUUGUGUGCAGGUUAUUUGGGUCAGAGGGACACGUGAACCCGGUCAAAAGCACCAUGUCAUGUCAGUUUGAAGUCCAAGAGAACCUUCGUGAGCCAGGCCCAUCUCCGAGAACUUCAGGCACCCAUCAAAAAUUUCUCGACCCAUCAUCAUUGCUUGGCACCACCAGAUCGGUCCAGUGAUAUUGACGACCCUCGAUGUUCCGGCGAGUCCUCCACCGAGCUCAGAGCCAUCACCACCGCAAUUCGCAUGAUUUGUCCGUCUGAAUUUGGAAACAGUAUCCGAGUGAUAUUGCAAUUCAGGUAAUAAUUUUCAUUAAAUUGAUUUUCAUAUAUUUUUAUUUCCUAAUUUAUGAGAUCGCUAUCUCGCAUGAAAUUCCCGACUGAUAUUCGAAAUUUGAGAAUCAUCGACAGUCCAAUUUUCGCGUCCGAAAUCCGACUCACAAUCGCACGGAAAAUCGCAAAUUCGAUCUCACGCUUGAAAUUUGAUUCGCAAUUUAUUUAGAAAUUGGCCAACCCGAUCUCAUGCGCGAGAUACGGUUCGCCAAUUUGUGGAUAUCAAUCAUAUCUUAUUUGAUUUGCCGUCAUGUUGGUUGAAUCAAUUUUAUUUUUGUAAAAGGAAAAAUCCAAAAAAUAUUUGAAUUAGGAUUGGGUUGGUUUUAGAAUAUCUCUUGUUAUCUUGCAUAUUUAGAAUAGAGAUUCUAUUUCGAAUUUGUUAAAAAAUAAAAAAUAAAAAAUGCAUGCAUUUAGGAUGUUAAUUUUAAAUUUGAAUUGCACGUUUAAUUAUUUGGCAAUUUUUAAUUUCGAAGUUCAUAAAAGAAAAAGAAAAAAUUAGAAUUAGGGCAUUCUUUGCAUGUCAUUGCAUAUUAUGGUAGAUUGCAUACUUGUUAAGAAAAAAGAAAAAUGUCAUGUGCACGUCAUUAGGAUUAGAUUCAUGAAAUGCAUGCCAUUUAGUAGUUGUUGCUAGGUUUAUUCGAUUAAAAAUUGCAUGUCAUUAGAAUUAGGUCAUUUAGUUAUUUGCAUUGCAUAAAGCACGAUUCUCAUUAAUUAAGUGAAAACAAAAAGAAAUUGUGUGUUAAUUAGAAAUCUUGUUGAUAUGAAUUCUGAUAUAACAUUGCAGAUGCAGUUUUGCAAUUUUAUUCAUUGCUUUUCUUGGAUAUUAAAUUGGUUAUUUGCGCACACCUCACAUGUUAGGGAGAUAAUUUAAAAUCAAUUCAAACUGCCUGCCAAAUAUUUUUUUUUUCAAAAUAAAAAAAAAAAAGGUACCGAAAGGGCGUUGGAGAAGUCUAGCGUAACCAAGUCCUCGAACUCAUAAUCUCUGGUUCAAUCGACCCACCAAAAAUAGAUUAGUGGCGACUCCUAAUUACAAAUUUGCAUGUUAAGAACUUGAACCGAAAGUCGCGAAUUAGUAUAGGCUUGGGAGAGCCCGAGUUAAGUCUAGGCUUAAUAAUCCAUUAGCCAAAUCCUAGGUGAUGCACCCGAAAAUUUGGUCGCGAUACAUCGCCAUAGACAAAAUUGGUUCCUUGAUUUGACGGAUUUUCGUACUACACACAUCAACCAUUCACGUGCUCCAAUGGGGCCUCUCAUGCCCCGAGUCAUGAAACACCUACAAGAAUUUAUUUGCUUUGUCACCAUAUUAUUUAUCACCUAUGUACGUGUUUAUGCAUCAACUUUGGUGAAAAUCAUCAUAUAUAAACCGAAUCACUAUGACUCAAAUCAUUCCAUACAUAUAUGUAUGUAUGUAAAGUACAUUCAUUUUGUGAUUUUUGUCCUAUUAAAUCAAUGUAACAUGUACAAAAGGCGAUUGUUUGACGAGUUAGUCGCCCGAAGGAUCUCCAUGCUAAGUUCGAGAUUUUACAAAAGACAAGCUAAAUUGUUCCGUCUAGUCAAUUUCAAAAGAGUUGGAAUAUUGCAAAAUUAACGAUUUUUUUUUCUUUCGAAAAACAGAGCACCAUUUGUCUUAACGACAAGAAGAGACAUUACCAAAUUUUGUGGACAUACUUUGUCCGAGACCCGGCCCAUGUCCAGCAGCCCAGAUUGUGAUGGAUCCAGCAUGGACAGGCCCAUGGGGUGGCUGAUGGGCCUUGUCAAACACUAUUCAGUUGCUCUCCUAAGCUACAUCAAUGAUCAACGAUAAAAUUCUGUCACAAGACAAUUUUCUGUCCGGCACGAUGCAAAUAACGAGGUCUGAGAAUUAUAUAAUUACUUUCGAGACACGAGGUUCUCAUUUAUCUAAAUCAGUCAUAGCAUGGCAAGUGUUACAAACUUCCUUAUCUUCUUUCAAGAUCAAUGAUAGUUUUUCUACUUGAUGAUUCACUUGGAUGGAUUGAAAUGUCAUGCUUUGAGAGCACAUAAAAAUUUCUUAAUAAAUUGAUAUUUCAUUUCUUCUCUCGUACGAAUACCACUACCCGAUAUGCUUUGAGCGUUGAUCUUGUUAUAAAUGCCAUAUAAUCAUCAAUAUCAACUAGGUCAUAAUAAAGAUCAGUCUAAGUUUGCUGUACUUAAGUUCUUUGUGAGGUGCCCAAAACGAGCUCCAAAUCACAUAAAGACCUUCGACACGAGCCUGUAAUGUGAAGAGACCACCGACGUGAUCUCGAGUUUUGUAUAUUUGUAAUUUUAAUGCAUUAAUUUUGUGGACCUACUUGGUCUCAUCCCCAAGCCAUGUUUAUCGUCCAAGUUUGUCCUAACUAUCGACCUGGACUAGCUAAGUGCGCAUCGGUUCACCUCAAUCCGUCGUAAAUGGAAAUGCCGUCCCUGUUCAUAUCAAAAAAGUUUCACGUGACAAGCUCGAGCACUGCAAAAUCUGAUCUUUUGGAAAUGGUCUGUCUUGUUUUCGCGUCUUGCUCAUUGCAAGUUUUGAUCUUGGGAAACGGUCUCUGGACUUUUGCAGAUGACUUGAUGGGCUCUAUCAAAUGGACACUCUCGACAAAUAGAUUGGUGGAUUGAGAUAAGGCGGUCUUCACUCUUCACGGGAGAAAAUAUCUUUGGAGAAUACCCGUCAAAACCUGUAGUCAAAGCCCCCGGUUUCCUUAGAAUUCAGUGUCCGAGUGAGUGACGCAUGCCAUGAGGCCGCUAACUUCCGUCUUUUCCUGCAGAACUUCGAUCUUUUUCCAAUGUUCCGUUCGUAAAUUGUCUCAUUCUUUCACUCAUUCCUCGCUCUUGGCGCGUCCAGCAUUCACCAGAUUUUUUGGUGAAAGAACAGGACAAUGUUGAGGUCGGAGUGGUUUGAGAAUACCACCAAAACCUUUAGUCAAAGCCGCCACUUUCUUUAGAAUUCAGUGUCCGAGUUAGUGACGCAUGCGAUGAGGCCGCCAACGUCCCAUCUUUUCCUGCAGAACUUCGAUCUUUUUCCAACGUUCCCUUCAUAAAUCGUCUCAUUCUUGCACUCAUUCCUCGCUCUUGGUGCGUCCAGCGUUCGGCAGAUUUUUUUGUGAAAGAACAGGAAAAUGUUGAGCUCUCAGUGCUUUGAGAACCCACCGAACCUGAGCUCGACUUGUGGAGCAGGGCGUGUUGAAGAGCUCGCAGGCCUCAAGACUUACGUCACCGGCCCUUCUGAUUCCAAGCGUGCUCUUCUUUUCAUCCCUGAUGCUUUUGGUAAUGGCCUAUUUCUUUGAUUCUGAUUUUCUGUGUUGUUUCUCUGAUGGGUCUUUCUUUUUUGGUUGAUUGUGUUACUUCUUCUUGGUUCUUGGUCGUUCUUGUGCUUUUUCGAUCGAUCCAUGAAAUUGCCUCUUGAUGGAUCCUUUGCUCAUCUGUUUGUGCAGGGUAUGAGGCUCCUAAGCUGAGGUAUGGCGUGAUUACUUGCAUAGAAUCUUUCUUAUAGUGCCAUUUUUUGAAGUUUGCAAGUGAAUGACUCUGUAUUCUCCCUGUAUCUGAAAGCUCUGCCUUUCCGAUCACCUUUCCCCUGUGAUGCUGAAGAGCAUUAGAUAGCACAUGAGGGUGUGGCCAAUUCAUUCUGGAUGAGGGUGUUUGGUGUUUUUCUUUUCUGAGUUUACACAUCAUCUGUUGAAAUGCAUAUACGUUUGAUUUUGCGGCAUAAUUCAACUGACAUUUGAUGCACAUUGCGUAACUCAACAUAAAUGACAGUUUUGUUUGUUCUAAUAAAUUCUGCUACUUAUAUGGCUCAGCUGUUCAUGUGAUGCGGUUUCAUCUUGAGAUAAAGAUAGCCUUAGUUUCAACUCCGACAUCACAUAAGCUGGGAUCGCCCUGUUAAGGGUCAUGGCAUUCUAUGCGUUCACACGAUUGAAAAUGAUUGAGUUACCUUUUCAAAUUGUCAUACUUAUUUGUGGACCGCUUUUGUUGUAAAGGAAACUUGCAGAUAAGGUUGCAUCAGCGGGAUUCUUCGUGGUUGUACCUGAUUUCUAUUAUGGAGAUCCCGUUAUUGAUGUCAAUGAUCCUAAUUUCAAUAUAGAAGUUUGGCUAAAAAAUCAUAGCCCGGUGAGUUUUCCACUCCUUCAGGUCGUGAAAGUAUUAUAGCACAUUUAGAAGUUUAGAGGAAACAAGGGAUCUCCAAAUAGCAAACUUGACUUCUACACUCAUAUCACAUGUAGUAAGUUGCAUUAAUAGCUAGAUCUGGUUGGAGAGUGCUGGUCAUUUCAAAGAUUUUCGACACCCAUCUACGUCUGUAAUUUACCAAAUUCCAGACGUGAAACAUGAUGCGGUCUCAGUAGAAUGAGAGCACCAUGAAUUUUCAUGUCACCAGUUUUUUAGUUGUCUUUUCGUAAACUUUCACCCCAUUUACUUCUUUAGGAUAAAGGGUAUGAAGAUGCCAAGCCAGUGAUUGCCGCUCUUAAAAGUAAAGGUGUGUCUGCCAUUGGGGUUGCAGGAUUUUGUUGGGGAGGUAAAAUUUUCUGAAUUCACUUUCACAGUUCUGAGGAGGUUAUUGGGUUAAAUAGGGAAAACUUGUUCCCCAAAACAUCAUAGAAAAAUUAGUUCUGGUCACUUACGGAAAAGUUCUUUCAAAGUUUGUUAAAAAGAGCUUGCCUAUCCUUUUCAGGAAUGGUGCUAGUGAAAUUAGCAGGCACCGAAGACAUUCAAGCAGCAGUUAUUCUGCACCCUGGUCGUAUCACCGAAGAUGAAAUCAGAGGUAAAGCUAUGCCAGUGAACAUGGAAUUUCUUCUUAUUUUCAUUUCAACCAUAGCAACAUAAUUUCUUCAUGAGGGUAUUAGGCUGGGUACUUGGCAUGGGAGGCUUUGUGGACUAAUAUGAUGCUCUUAUGUAUAAGUUUAUGAAUUCUGAAAAGAGUCUGCAAAUGCAGCCAAGAGUGAUGAAGAAACCUGCCAUGCGUCUGGUCAAUUACAAGAAAAUCGAUCGCACAACAUUUGUCUGUUUGAGAAGAGUUCCUUAAACUGGAAGCCGCAAAAAUCUUAUUUUUGUCUAUUCUUUGUUCAGCCGUCAAGAUUCCAACUGCUAUAUUGGGAGCCGAGAAUGACCACAUUUUCCCUGCAGACGAACUGAAAAAGUUAGGGGAGAUCAUGUCGGCUAAAACUGAAGUAAGCGACUUAGGAUAUUUUGUGCAUUUGUUGCAAGAAAAAAUGUUGGAAAAUCCUACUGUUUUAUCACAUUCCCGUCAGUGAGCUCGCAAAGCACUUCUUCUCUCUGGUUAUUUCUAUGCAUCACCAAUUCAAAGAUCCCGGUUUUGCAGUUCGAGAGUUAUGUCAAAAUAUUCCCUGGUGUUAGACAUGGAUGGAGUGUGAGGUAUAAUGACGAUGACGAGUCCGCCGUCAAGAGUGCCAAAGAGGCCCAAGAGGACAUGUUGAAUUGGUUCUUGAAGCAUGUCAAGUGAAAAGUAAGGCAUUGAUGCAGAAUAUAGUGAGGAAUUUCAGGACUAGUCAUCUGUUUUGGAUUAGUCAUCUAUAAUGUUCUGUUGUGACUUUAAUAAAUAAGGCAUCGGUUUCGUAGAUCGAACUUUGCAGAUUGAGAGUGAAGUAUGUCAUGUAGAGUUGUAUCGUGCCAUCUGGGUUGAAUUCUCUGUUCAAAUUGAUUGGAUGUGUUCUCUAUCAGAUAGCGUAUUCGUUUAUUCAAAGGAAACUAUUUCUGCGGAGAGUAAGUUCAGUUUUCUAAAUCCAAAAAUGGAGUCCAUGGGCUUUCUUUUUCCCCUGCUUGGUUUUGAUAAAUUUUCUUAUGCGGAAUGAUUCAGUCUAUUCGAUCGAUAGAAUCAUGUUGAAAUAUCUGUCGACAAAUAAUCCUAAUGCUCAAAACUACAUCAAAGAUUGAAUUCAGCAUCACAAGACAAUUUUAUGCCUCAUGUAAUGCAGAUAACUAGUUUGGAAAAUCUCAUGGUUACCAUUGAGACAUGAUGUACUUAUAUGUCCAAAUCAAUCAUAGGGUGGCAAGUGUUAUGAACAUUUUUACUUUCUUUAUUCGCAAUAAAUGAUAGUGCUUUUCCAUGGGCAAUUGAUUUAGGUGGACCAAAACGUCAUGCUUCGAGAGCACCUAAAACUUUCUCCAUGGAUUGAGAUUUCAUUUUGUUUUCUGUCCAUAGUCUAUGCUAGAAACAUGAAUCCCACAACCUAAUAUGCUUUCGAGCCAAUGGUUGGGGGUGUUGAUCUUGUUUUGGAUGUCGGUAAUGAUCACCAUUGAUCAUGUCAUUUUAAUAACAAGGUGUCUAGUUUUGCUAUACUCGAGCACUUAGGAUAUAAUACGCGAAAAUGACAGGAUUUUACAAUUUACAUCAAUCCAAAAUCACCAAAGAAAUAAACGAGAAAAAUAAGGACACGAGAAAUUUAUGCAGUUCGAUCCGAGUAUCAGUACCUACGUCCACGGGGAGAGCCAGCAGCAAAUAAUUCACUAAAAUCGGAGUAUUCCCCAAACCUAACUCAUUUGGAUAUAAAUUCACGACACAAAAUUACUGCGCGCACAAGCUUAAAGUAUAACACGCGCGACUCUCUCUUCAACUUGACGUGCGGCUCCUUGCGGCUUCUUCUACGUCGGGCUUCCGCUGCUUCGUAGGGUUACAGCCGUGCGCUUCUUUCGGGCGGGUGAAAGACGUGCAACAAUUAUUUCUCUUUCUAUACGUGUGUGCCCAAUUCAAACUUUGACUUGGCCCACCUCUUUGUCUUUUUACGUUCAGAGGACUUUUCUCGCUCCUUUCUUUUAGAAAGAAGUUUAAUACGUGUGUGCACGUGUUGACUUUUGGGCCCCAUUUGGGCCCCACCCGGGUAACAAAGAAUUUGGCAAGCUUUCGUGGGUAAGGAAGAAAUUCAUAUCUUCGUUUUAUUUCCUCUUUUUGUAAUCCUUCAUUGAGUCCAACGGAGUUUUUUCUACUUGGAAAUCUUUAUCAACAAAAUUCAAUAUAAUAAAUCGUCAUCCGAAUUCAAACUCGAGACAUUAUUUAACAAUUUUCCACUUUUGCUCGAUAUUUGAAGCCAAAUUAUAGUGUUCAUCAUCCAUGCUGCUCUUCCAACACUUCGACGGGCGCUCACUCUGCUUGAGCUUCGCCAAAGAAACAGACUUAGUCAUUAUAUUUGCCGGGUUAUCUGCUAUAGCAAUCUUUUUGACAAUAACAUUAUCCCAACAUCUCGGAUGAAGUGGUACCUGAUGUUGAUAUACUUCAUUUGCUUAUGAUAAACUGAAUUAUACGCCAAAUAUAUUACACAUUGGUUAUCACAGUGUAUAUCCACACUUUUUUGUUCUAACCCAAAGUCCGAAAGCAAAUUUUGUAACCAUAUCGCAUUUUUUGCUACAGAGGUUAGUGCAUGUAUUUUGCCUCAAUCAAAGACAAGACAAUGUGAUCCUAUAAUGAUGCUUUCCAACUAACUACACCACCCGCUAGCGUAAACACAUACCCUGCUAAAGAUCUGCAGUCAUCAAAGUCACCGGUGUAAUCCAAAUCCACAAAACCAAUGGUCUCACUGCCAUUACUAUCCUUCCGGUAUACUAUACCCACGUCUGUUGUUCCCUUCAAAUAUUUGAAGAUUUACUUUCCAGCUUCCUAAUGAGUUUUAUCAUAACGUUUCAUACAGCGACUAACCACGCUCAUAGCUUGUGAAAUAUCAGGCUUAGUGCAUACCAUAUCAUACAUAAUACUACCCACGUCAUUAGAAUAAAAAAACAUAGGACAUAUGCUUCUCCUCCUCCUCAGUAUGCGAUGAUAAAUUUAUUUAAAAGUUUAAAGUGCUUCGCUAAAGGUGUACAUACAGAUUUUGUUGACUGCAUAUUAAAACGUGCAACGAUCUUCUCAAUAUAUUUUCAUAGACAUAAAACUCUUGCAGUCCUGCCAUGCAAAAUCUCCAUAUCCAAUUUUUUUUUUUGCAGCACCUAAAUCUUUAAUCUCAAAUUCAACAUUUAACUGCCUCUUCAGCACAUCAAUAUCAGACACAUUCUUAAUUGCUAUAAGCAUAUUAUUAACAUCUAAGAGUAGAUAAAUCAAAGAACUAUUUUCCAAUCUCUUAUAGUAAACACAACUAUCCAUUUGACUUUUUGUGUAGAGAAAUAAUCAAAACGUUUAUACCAUUGUCUAGAAGACUGUUUCAGCCUAUACAAAAAUUUAUUUAACAAGCAAACAUGAUAUUUCUUACCUGAAAUAGCAAAUCCCUUUGGUUGCUUCAUGUAAAUCCGCUCUUCCAACUCACAGUGAAGAAAUGUACUUUUCACAUCUAGCUGCUCUAACUCGAGAUCCUACGAAGCAACUAAGACAAGUAAAACACGAAUAGAAGUAUGUCUUACCAUAGGAGAGAACACCUUAUUGUAAUCAAUGCCUUCAUGAUGUGUAUACCCAUUCACUACAAGUCUUGCCUUAUACUUCGUUGCCUUGACACUGGAAAUGCUCUCUUUCCGUUUAAAGACCUAUUUACUUCCGACAAUCUUUUGGCUCUUUGGUACUUUGAUCAGCUCCCAUGUCUGAUUUCGAUGGAGUGAUUCCAUCUCUUCACUCAUAGCCCCUAGUUACUGCGACGACUCCGAACUAGCCAUUGCCUCAGAGUAAGACGAAGGCUCAUCUGUCUCCACCUCAUCACCUAUAAUUAAUGCAUAAGUAAUAUCUGUAUAAUCAUAACAUACUAGUGAUUUAAUCUGCCUUCUUUGUCUAUCUGCGGCUAUAAUGUGCCGCGGUUUUGCUGGUUGUUCACUAUCACCGACUUAAGAAACUGUGGCUUCAUUUGCAGUCUCAACUUCUAUUACUUUCGAAGUCUCUGGAGUCUCCACCUGAAGCUCCACUUCACUAAUGACAUCAUGAUCUGUCUUCUCUGCUGGUUGUGUCUCAAAUUUCCUUCGUUGAAGUAUUGCAGUCUUGUCGAAGAUCACAUCUCUACUAAUUAGAAAACCGGGUGAUUUACGAUCAGUGCACCACAGCUAGUAGCCUUUCAUCCCAUGUGCAUAACCCGGAAAUAUGCAUUUCUUCGCCCUCGACUCAAGCUUACCAUCACUCGCAUGAACAUAUGUAGGACAUCCAAAUAUAUGUAAUUUGGAGUAAUCAAUAGGUUUCCCCGACCAUACUUCCUCAAAAGUCUUCCACUCGAUAGCAGAUGAUGGAGAUCGAUUAACCAGGUAAGAUGACAUGUUCAUUGCUUCGAUCCAAAAUUCCUUGCCAAGUCCUGCAUGUGAAAGCAUGUAUUGAGUUCGUUUAGGUAAAGUUUUGUUCUUUCGUUCUACCACGCCAUUCUGUUGUGGUGUCCUAGGUAUUGUGUGGUGUCUUACAAUACUUUUGUUUUUGCAAAACUUGAUAAAAUCUUUACCACGGAACUCCAUGCCAUUAUUGGUUUUCAGGCACUUGAUUUGUUUAUCUGACUGCUUCUUAAUCAAUGGCUUAAAUUUCUUGAACCGAGCAAACACUUCAUAUUUGUGCUUCAGAAAGUAAACUCAUACAUUCCUCAAAUAAUCGUCAAUAAAUGUCAACAUAUAUUAGGCACAUGCUUUCGAAGGAACUAAAGACGGGCCUCAGACGUCUGAAUGAAUAUAUUCAACUAGUCGUUUGGUCGAAUGAAUAGCUGUAGUAAACUUAACUUAGUGCUACUUCUCAAAGAGGCAGUGCUCACAUAAGUCCAGCUUGUCUUUUGACCUUUCAACAACUCCCUUUCACUCAACAUUGUCAUACUUGCCUUACUCAUGUGCUUUAAACGCAUAUGUCAUAAUUGAGUCAAGUUAAAAUCCGACUCACUUGAUGAAGCUGCAGUGGUUCUGGUCACAGUAUGUCCCAGUAGAUGAUAAAGAAUAUUCACUUUCUUCCCCUUCAUCACUGUCAUGACAUCUUGAGAGAUCUUCAAUACUCUACUUUCAGCGGUUUACUUAUACCCGAUGUCAUCGAGUGUCCUCAGAGAAAUAAGGUUCUUCUUGAACUCUAGUACAUGCCUCACAUUUGUCAAUGUGCACACCACCUCAUCGUGCAUUCGGAUCCGAAUUGUCCCUAUCCCUACAGCCUUAUAGACUGCAUUAUUCCCUAAAAGAACCCUACCACCAUCUGCAACUUAGUAAGUAGUAAACUAGUUCUUAUGAGGCGUCAUAUGAUAAGAACACCCCGAAUCUAGCACCCAUUCGUCUCCUAACGAAGUAUCAGUCACACAUAAAACAGUUUCUGUAUCACUAGUGCUCCCCUCAGCAACGUUUGCCAUACUGCUUGUAGCAUUCUGUCUAUCAACUUUAUUUCUCCACUUUGGACAAUCUCUCAUGAUGUGCCCCUCCUCAUGACAUUCAAAGCACUUUGCGCGUCCCUUAGACUUUUUAUGGCGUGAUUUCAAUAUACUUUUACCUCUGCUGCUACUAGGCUCUUGAUAUUGUUUUCUACCCAAAUCAUUAGUGUUUGCGUUGCUCCUUUCGCCAAACCAUUAUCUCGCAAUUUUCUUUGUCACUCCUUAGAAAAUAAGGCGGACUUUACUUAUUCUGAGAUAAUAGUAGUAUGCCCCUGUAACAACGAAUCAGUAAAGUGCUCCCAUGACUCUGGUAAAGAAGCUAACAAUAUCAUGCCCUAUUCUUCAUCAUCAAGUAUCUUACCGACGUUCUUUAAAUCCAUCGUGAGUUUAUUAAAUUUAUUUAGGUGUGUUUAAAUAGAUGCACCUUCAGUAUAUCUAAACUAAAACAUCUUCUUCAAUAUGUACAAACGAUUGUCUUUUUACGUUCAGACGACUUCUGCCCCUCCUUUCUUUUAGAAAGAAGUUUUAUACGUGUGUGCGUGUGUUGACUUUUGGGCCCCACCUGGGUAACAAAGAAUUCGGUAAGCUUCCGCGGAUAAGGAAGAAAUUCGUGUCUUCCUUUUAUUUCCUCUUUUUGUAAUCUUUCGUCGAGUCCAACGAAAUUUCUUCUACUUAGAAAAUUUUUAUCAACAAAAUUCGAUAUAAUAAAAUCGUCAUCCGAAUUCAAAUUCGAGACAUUAUUUAACAUUAUAGGGUGCCUAAAUCAUGCAAAGCCCAAAUUUCAAAUUUUUGUUAUCUUACUACAUGUAUUUUGUGGACCUACUUGGUCUCAUCCCAUAUGCUUGGGUUCUAUCAUGUUCAAUAGAAUGUCACCAUAUCCAAGUUUGUCAUAGCUGUCGACCUAGAUUAGGCAAGCACACAUCAAUUCGCUUCAGUCCGUUGUGAGUAAAUUAUGAGCUGGGAUAAAUGUAAGUGAAUCUCAAGUGAUGCACUGGAGAAAAUAUUUGGAAAUGCCAUCGAACCUCACCUUUUGUCUCUUCUAAGUAGUUAUUGAAUGAUCGGGAACGCCUUCCCACCGAGUCAAGUCAAUGUCGCCCCUACUAUCCAGAUAUUUGGAAAUGCCAUCGAACCCCACCUUUUGUCACUGCUAAGUAGUUAUUGAAUGAUCGGGAACGCCUUCCCACCGAGUCAAGUCAAUGUCGCCCCUACUAUCUUCCACCUCUCGACGUGAGGAAGUUAUUAUUGCCCGAGUGACGCAUGUAAUGACGCCUUGAGGCCCUCCAUCCUUUCCUUAUAAAAUACUCGUUCUUUUCCCCUGUUGCCUCUCACAACUUGUCCCGUUCUUGCACCGAUUCCUCACUCCUAGUGCGUCCCACUUUCACCAGAUUUCUGAGGAAGAAAGGAAAAUGUCGAGCUCUCAGUGUUUUGAGAACCCACCAAACCUGAGCUCCACUUGCGGAGCAGGACACAUUGAAGAGCUUGCAGGUCUCAAGACUUACGUCACCGGCCCUUCCGAUUCCAAGCGUGCUGUUCUUCUCAUCGCCGAUGCUUUCGGUACUGGCCCAUUUCUUUAAUUUUGAUUUUGUGGUGUUUCUCUCAGUUGGGUCUUUUCUUUUGGUCAAUUAUGUAUAUCUUCUUGGUUCUUUGUCGUUCUUGUGCUUUUCGAUUGGUCCAUGAUAUUGCUGCUUGAUUGAUGAUCUUUGCUCAUCUGUUUGUGCAGGGUAUGAGGCUCCUAAGCUGAGGUAUGGAAUCUUUCUCAAGUUGUUCUAUGUAUAUGUUGUUCUGUAGUGCCAUCUUUUUAAGUUUCAUAGUGAAUAAACUCUGUAUUCUCCGGAUAGCAUACAUUUGAAAGCUUUGCUUUUCCGUUCACCUUUCACCUGUGAUGACGAAGAGCAUUAGAUGGCACUUGAGGGCGAAGCCAGUUCAUUCUGGAUGAGUGUGUUUGGCGUUCUUCUGUUCCAAGUUAAAACAUCAUUUGUUGAAUUGUAUAUACACGUGGGACUUCAUGGCAUAGUUCAGCUGACAUUUGAUAUACAUCGCUUGAUUCAAUAUGAAUCACAGUUUUCUUUGUUCUAAUGAUUUCCGCUACUAAUAUGGCUCAGCUGGUUAUGUAAUUCGGUUUCAUCUUGAGAUAGAGUUAUCCUUAGUUGCAACACCAAAAUCACAUAAGCUGGGUUUGCCUUCUUGACAGUCCCGGCAUGAUUCUAUGUUUUAACAAGAUUGAGAAUGAUGAGAGUUACCUUUUCAAAUGGUCAUACUUAUUUGCGGAAUGCUUUUGUUGUGUAGGAAACUUGCAGAUAAAAUUGCAUCAGCAGGAUUCUUGGUGGUUGUAC
rnacentral:lncRNA from 1 species